UUAUGCCAACGAUUUGUGUCUGCAAUGUGUGACUCAAAAUUAUUACUUAUCAAAAAAUGGGGGAGGGGUGGAUAAAGAGGAGGUAUUGGUUGGCAAUAGAUAGCGUGUACCAACACGUAAUUAAAUUCCGGUACCGAUAAUGAAAUUGCUGGCCUAUUAGUCACUGUAUUAAACCGUUUUUAGUUUCUAUUUUUGAAUUUUCGAGCUGAUUAGGAAAUGAGUGUGUUGAAAAAAUUCAUAGGGAGUUAAUAAUGAGUGGAGGAAAGAGGAUUAGAUUAAAAAAUUGCAUCGAAAUAGCAUAUCUAAUUAAUUAAAAAGUUUCGAAAUACACGAUUUUGUGUAAAUAAUGAUAGAUUAAAAAAUCAGUGUAAGAAGAAGAAUGAGGUUUAAAAAUUGAAUGGAAAAAGCAUCAAAUUCCCCCAGUUAAUUAAAAAGUGUCAAAAUCGCGAUUUUCUGCUAAAAAUGAAUGAUUAAAGUCAUAUCAUCUUGAAAUGAAGAGUUGGAAGAACGAAACUUUAUACACGAUUAAUAAUGAGGGUCGAAAAGAGAAUGCGGUUUAAAAAUAGUAUGGAAAAAGCAUCAAAUUCCCCCAAUUAAUUAAAAAGUCUCAAAAUAACGAUUUCUGCUAAAAAUGAAGGGUUAAAAAAUUAUAUCGUCUUGAAAUGAAGAGUUGGAAGAACGAAACUUUACAUACGAUUAAUAAGGAGUGUAAGACAGAAGAUGAGGUUUAAAAAUUGAAUGGAAAAAGCAUCAAAUUCCCCCAAUUAAUUAAAACGUCCCAAAAUCACGAUUUCUGCUAAAAAUGAAGGAAUAAAAAAAACCGUAUCAUCUUAAAAUGAAGAGUUGGAAGAACGAAACUUUACAUACGAUUAAUAAUGAGUGUAAGAAAGAGAAUGAGGUUUAAAAAUUGAAUGGAAAAAGCAUCAAAUUCCACCAAUUAAUUAAAAAGUGUCAAAAUCACGAUUUCUGCUAAAAAUGAUGGAUUAAAAAACCAUAUCAUCUUGAAAUGAAGAGUUGGAAGGACGAAACUUUACACAUGAUUAAUAAUGGGUGUAAGAAAGAGAAUGAGGUUUGAAAAUUGAAUGGAAAAAGCAUCAAAUUCCCCCAAUUAAUUAAAAUGUGUCAAAAUCACGAUUUCUGCUAAAAAUGAUGGAUUAAAAAACUGUAUCAUCUUGAAAUGAAGAGUUGGAAGGACGAAACUUUACACAUGAUUAAUAAUGGGUGUAAGAAAGAGAAUGAGGUUUGAAAAUUGAAUGGAAAAAGCAUCAAAUUCCCCCAAUUAAUUACAAUGUGUCAAAAUCACGAUUUCUGCUAAAAAUGAUGGAUUAAAAAACUGUAUCAUGUUGAAAAGAAGAGUUGGAAGAACGAAAAUUUACACACGAUUAAUAAUGAGUGUAAGAAAGAGAAUGAGGUUUAAAAAUUGAAUGGAAAACGCAUCAAAUUCCACCAAUUAAUUAAAAUGUGUCAAAAUCACGAUUUCUGCUAAAAAUGAUGGAUUAAAAAACUGUAUCAUCUUGAAAUGAAGAGUUGGAAGGACGAAACUUUACACAUGAUUAAUAAUGGGUGUAAGAAAGAGAAUGAGGUUUGAAAAUUGAAUGGAAAAAGCAUCAACUUCCCCCAAUUAAUUAAAAAGUGUCAAAAUUACGGUUUUAUGGUAAAAAUGAAGGAUUAAAAAGUCAUAUCAUCUUGAAAGGAAGAGUUGAAAGAACGAAAAUUUACACACGAUUAAUAAUGAGUGUAAGAAAGAGAAUGAGGUUUAAAAAUUGAAUGGAAAAAGCAUCAAAUUCCUUCAAUUAAAUAAAAAGUGUCAAAAUCACGAUUUUCUGCUAAAAAUGAAAGAUUAAAAAAUCAUAUCAUCUUGAAAUGCAGGGUUGGAAGAACUAAAUGUUACACACGAUUAAUAAUAAGUGUAACAAAGAGAAUGAGGUUUAAAAAUUGAAUGGAAAAAGUAUCAAAUUCCACCAAUUAAUUAAAAAGUGUCAAAAUCACGAUUUCUGCUAAAAAUGAUGGAUUAAAAAAUCAUAUCAUCUUGAAAUGCAGAGUUGGAAGGACGAAGCUUUACACACGAUUAAUAAUGGGUGUAAGAAAGAUAAUGAGGUUUGAAAAUUGAAUGGAAAAAGCAUCAACUUCCCCCAAUUAAUUAAAAAGUGUCAAAAUUACGGUUUUAUGGUAAAAAUGAAGGAUUAAAAAGUCAUAUCAUCUUGAAAGGAAGAGUUGAAAGAACGAAAAUUUACACACGAUUAAUAAUGAGUGUAAGAAAGAGAAUGAGGUUUAAAAAUUGAAUGGAAAAAGCAUCAAAUUCCCCCAAUUAAUUAAAAUAUGUAAACAUCACGAUUUUCUACUAAAAACAGACUAAAAAUGAAGGAUUAAAGUCAUAUCAUCUGGAAACGAAGAGUUGGAAAAACGAAACUUUAUACACGAUUAAUAAUGAGUGUAAGAAAGAGAAUGAGGUUUAAAAAUUGAAUGAAAAAAGCAUCAAAAUCCCCCAAUUAAUUAAAAAGUGUCAAAAUGACGACUUCUGCUAAAAAUGAAGAAAUAAAAAAUCAUAUCUUGAAAUGAAGAGUUGGAAGAACGACACUUUACAUACGAUUAAUAAUGAGUGUAAAAAAGAGAAUGAGGUUUAAAAAUUGAAUGGGAAAAGCAUCAAAUUCCACCAAUUAAUUAAAAUGUGUCAAAAUCACGAUUUCUGCUAAAAAUGAUGGAUUAAAAAACUGUAUCAUCUUGAAAUGAAGAGUUGGAAGGACGAAACUUUACACAUGAUUAAUAAUGGGUGUAAGAAAGAGAAUGAGGUUUGAAAAUUGAAUGGAAAAAGCAUCAACUUCCCCCAAUUAAUUAAAAAGUGUCAAAAUUACGGUUUUAUGGUAAAAAUGAAGGAUUAAAAAGUCAUAUCAUCUUGAAAGGAAGAGUUGAAAGAACGAAAAUUUACACACGAUUAAUAAUGAGUGUAAGAAAGAGAAUGAGGUUUAAAAAUUGAAUGGAAAAAGCAUCAAAUUCCCCCAAUUAAUUAAAAUAUGUAAACAUCACGAUUUUCUACUAAAAACAGACUAAAAAUGAAGGAUUAAAGUCAUAUCAUCUGGAAACGAAGAGUUGGAAAAACGAAACUUUAUACACGAUUAAUAAUGAGUGUAAGAAAGAGAAUGAGGUUUAAAAAUUGAAUGAAAAAAGCAUCAAAAUCCCCCAAUUAAUUAAAAAGUGUCAAAAUGACGACUUCUGCUAAAAAUGAAGAAAUAAAAAAUCAUAUCUUGAAAUGAAGAGUUGGAAGAACGACACUUUACAUACGAUUAAUAAUGAGUGUAAAAAAGAGAAUGAGGUUUAAAAAUUGAAUGGGAAAAGCAUCAAAUUCCACCAAUUAAUUAAAAUGUGUCAAAAUCACGAUUUCUGCUAAAAAUGAUGGAUUAAAAAACUGUAUCAUCUUGAAAUGAAGAGUUGGAAGGACGAAACUUUACACAUGAUUAAUAAUGGGUGUAAGAAAGAGAAUGAGGUUUGAAAAUUGAAUGGAAAAAGCAUCAAAUUCCACCAAUUAAUUAAAAAGUGUCAAAAUCACGAUUUCUGCUAAAAAUGAUGGAUUAAAAAACCAUAUCAUCUUGAAAUGAAGAGUUGGAAGAACGAAACUUUACAUACGAUUAAUAAUGAGUGUAAGAAAGAGAAUGAGGUUUAAAUAUUGAAUGGAAAAGUAUCAAAUUGCCCCAAUUAAUUAAAAAGUCUCAAAAUCACGACUUUUUGUUAAAAAUGAUGGAUUAAAAAUCAUAUCAUUUCGAAAUGAGGAGUUGGAAGAACGAAACUUUACAUACGAUUAAUAAUGAGUGUAAGAAAGAGAAUGAGGUUUAAAUAUUGAAUGGAAAAGUAUCAAAUUGCCCCAAUUAAUUAAAAAGUCUCAAAAUCACGACUUUUUGUUAAAAAUGAUGGAUUAAAAAUCAUAUCAUUUCGAAAUGAGGAGUUGGAAGAACGAAACUUCACAUACGAUUAAUAAUGAGUGUAAGAAAGAGAAUGAGGUUUAAAAAUUGAAUGGAAAAGGCAUCAAAUUCCCCCAGUUAAUUAAAAAGUGUCAAAAUCACGAUUUCUGCUAAAAAUGAUGGAUUAAAAAUCAUAUCAUUUCAAAAUGGGGAGUUGGAAGAACGAAACUUCACAUACGAUUAACAAUGAGUGUAAGAGAGAGAAUGAGGUUUAAAUAUUGAAUGGAAAAAGUAUCAAAUUCCCCCAAUUAAUUAAAAUGUGUAAACAUCACGAUUUUUUACUAAAAAUGAAGGAUUAAAGUCAUAUCAUCUCGAAAUCAAGAGUUGAAAGAACGAAACUUUAUACACGAUUAAUAAUGAGUGUAAGAAAGAGAAUGAGAUUUAAAUAUUGAAUAGAAAAAGCAUCAAAUUUCCCCAAUUAAUUAAAACGUAUCAAAAUAACGAUUUCUGCUAAAAAUGAAGGGAUAAAAAAUUAUAUCAUCUUGAAAUGAAGAGUUGGAAGAACGAAACUUUAUACACGAUUAAUAAUAAGUGUAAGAAAGAGAAUAAGGUUUAAAAAUUGAAUGGAAAUGUAUCAAAUUUGCUCAAUUAAUUAAAAAGUGUCAAAAUCACGAUUUCUGCUAAAAAUAAAGGAUUAAAAAGUCAUAUCAUCAUAAAAUGAAGAGUUGGAUGGACGAAACUUUACACACGAUUCAUAAUGAAUGUAAGAAAGAGAAUGAGGUUUAAAAAUGGAAGCAUCAAAUUCUUCCAAUUAAUUAAAAAGAGUCAACAUCACGAUUUCUGCUAAAAAUGAUGGAUUAAAAAACCAUAUUAUCUUGAAAAGAAGAGUUGGAAGAACGAAACUUUAUACACGAUUAAUAAUGAGAGUAAAAAAGAGAAUGAUGUUUAAAAAUUGAAUGGAAAAAACAUAAAAUUUCCCCAAUUAAUUAAAAACUGUCAAAAUCACGAUUUCUGCUAAAAAUGAAGGAUUAAAAAGUCAUAUCAUCUUGAAAUGAAGAGUUGGAAGAACGAAACUUUACAUACGAUUAAUAAGGAGUGCAAGAAAGGAAAUGAGCUAAAAAUGGAAUGGAAAAAGCAUCAAAACUCCACAAUAAAUUAAGAAGUGUCAAAAUCACGAUUUUCUCCACAAAAUGAAAGAUUAAAAAAUCAUAUCAUUUCUAAAUGAAUAGUUGGAAGAACGAAACUUUAUGUACGAUUAGUAAGGAGUGUAAGAAUGAAGAUGAGCUUUGGAAAUUAAAAGGAAAAAGCAUCAAAAUCCACAAUUAAUUAAAAAGUAUCAAAAUUACCUUUUUCUGUUAAAAAUGAAAGAAUAAACAAUCAUAUCAUCUUGAAAUGAAGAAUUGGAAGAACGAAACUUUACAUACGAUUAAUAAGGAGUGUAAGAUACAAGAUGAGGUUUAAAAAUUGAAUGAAAAAAGCAUCAAAUUCCCCCAAUUAAUAAAAAAAGUGUCAAAAUCACGAUUUCUGCUAAAAAUGAAGGAUUAAAAAAUCAUAUUAUCUUGAAAUGAAGAAUUGAAAGAACGAAACUUUGCACACGAUUAAUAAUGAGUGUAAUAAAAAGAAUGAAGUUUAAAAAUUGAAUGGAAAAAGCAUCAAAUUCCUCCAAUUAAAUAAAAAGUGUCAAAAUCACGGUUUUCUGCGAAAAAUGAAAGAUUAAAAAAUCAUAUCAUCUUGAAAUGCAGGAUUGAAAGAACUAAAUGUUACACACGAUUAAUAAUGAGUGUAACAAAGAGAUUGAGGUUUAAAAAUUGAAUGGAAAAAGCAUCAAAUUACUCCAAUUAAUUAAAAAGUGUCAAAAUCACGAUUUUCUGCUAAAAAUGAAGGAUUAAAUUAAAUCAUAUCAUCGUGAAAUGAAUAGUUGGAAGAACGAAACUUUACACACGAUUAAUAAUGAGUGUAACAAAGAGAAUGACGUUUAAAACUUGAAUGGAAAAAGCAUCAAAUUCCCCCAAUUAAUUAAAAAGUGUCAAAAUCACAAUUUAGAAUUAUAGAUUAAAAAAUCAUAUAAUUUCGAAAUGAAAAGUUGGAAGAACGAAACAUUACAUACGAUUAAUAAGGAAUGUAAAACAGAAGAUGAGGUUUAAAAAUUGAAUGGAAAAAGUAUCAAAAUCCCCCAAUUAACUAAAGUGUCAAAAUCACGAUUUCUGCUAAAAAUGAAGGAUUAAAAAAUCAUAUAAUCUCAAAAUGAAAAGUUGGAAGAACGAAACUUUACAUACGCUUAAUAAGAAGUGUAAGAAAGAAGAUGAGGUUUAAAAAUUGAAAGGAAAAAGCAUCAAAAUCCCCUAAUUAAUUAAAAAGUGUCAAAAUCACCUUUUUCUGCAUAAAAUAAAGAUUAAAAAAUUAUAUUAUCUCGAAAUGAAAAGUUACAAGAACGAAAUUUUGAUUAAUAAGGAGUGUAAAAAAAAUAAGGUUUAAAAAUAGCGUUGAAGAAGCAUCAAAAACCCUACAAUUAAUUAAAAAAUGUCUAAAUACACAAUUUUGUGCAUAUAAUGAUGGAUUGAAAAAAAUCAUACCAUCUCGAAAUGAUGAGUUGGAGAAACGAAAUUUCACAUACGAUUAAGAAUGAGUGUAAGAAAGAAGAUUAGGGUCAAAAAUUGGAUCGAUAAUGUAUCAGAGCCUCUCAAUAAAUUAGGAGAGAAAGAAAUAAAAGGAGGCGGCUGGCUCGCGAUAGUGACGUCACACGGCAACAAUGCGGUCGCGAACCCGGCGGCGGCGGCGGCGACAACGAUGGCAAUACUUUGGCCGUUAUGGUCAUGAAACGAAAGAAAGAGAGGACGACGACGACAGAGGCGGCACAGCCGGUGGCGCUAAACCAUUUAUGGUUAAACCCAACGUGAGCGACCGUGGUGUAGAGUGUGAUUCAUACCGCUUAUAAGAGGGGUCAAAAAAAUCUAAAUAAAAAAUAUAUAUGUAUAAAAAAAUCAUCCAAAUCAAUUUUUAUUAUUAUUUACUUGUAGAAAAUUAAAAAUUCUUUGAAACGAGUCCAAACACGAUGGGGUUAACUUAAAAAUUAACGGAGAUAUAACCCAAAAAGUAAUUGACAUAUUCAAAAAACAAUUGAUAAUCGGCGUUUUAAAACUAUGAUAUCUCGAUUGUUUAUUAAUAUAAAUAUACGUUGUUUGGGCUCAUUUUGAAGGAUUUUUUAUGAGGAUUAUAGUUUUUUUUACAUUAAAUCGAUUUAAGGAGAAUUUUUUUACUUAAUAAAUAAAUAAGAAGAAAGUUUCGCCAAAUAUAGACUUUCUUUGGUGGCGAGAACCAAAGAGAGAGUAAGAACGAUGAUUUAAGAGAGGAGGAAGAGGUGAAAGAGACGAAAGGAGAAUCGAGUGUGGGAAAGAAUUCCUCAAUCGGCCCCGUUACUACUACUAACUGUGUGGAAUGCGCCGGACCUUUUCACACCUAUUUUCGAAAACAGAUAAGGCUGUUUGUAAACAGACGGCGCGCGUGAGAGAUCGAGGGAAAAAACAGGGGAGGGAGAAGUAAAUAAACCUUUAAAAAAAAGGGACGUUGUCGAAAAAAAAAAGAAAUAAAUAAAUAUUAAAACCGGCUAUCUAAGGCAACUUAAUAAAAUUAAUUAAAACUGUCAAAAUACUUCUGAAAUCGUUAAUUAAACUUUAUGUAAUCUUUAAACGUCCACGUGCGUAAUAAGAGUAAUUUACCGAUCUCUAAAAUCGACGAUUAUCACCACUUAAAUAACUUAAAAAAGUUUUUAGGUGAAAGAGAAAACGAAUUUAUUUCGAUUCAAAAUGGCGCCCCGAUAUUAAUCUAUAAUUAUAUCCAUAUUUAAAUUUAUCGCAACUUUAUCGGCACCGUUUUGUAGAGAAUGAAAAAUCCUUUAAAAUGAUACCAAACACGAUGAGGUUAUCUCAAAAAAUAACCGAGAUAUCAUCAAAAAUAACCGAAAAAACAAUCGAGAAUCGCCAUUUUAAAAAUGGUCUUAUCUCGGUUGUUUUUAAAGAUAACUUGAUCGUGUUUGGUAUCAUUUUAAAGGAUUUUUCAUGAAGAUUAUGAAUCUACUCUUAAAAUGCCGAAUUUUAGUUAUUUUAAAUGAUAAUAUCAUCAUGUUUGGACUCAUGUUAAUGGAUUUUGAAUGUAGAUUAAUAAUUUGUUAAAAUGUAUGUAAUAUAAAAUGUUUUUAUUUUAUAUUUAUCAAUAAUUUUUGUUACUGCGUAGCGUGAUUAUUUAUAGGUAUUUUCCUUGACGGAUUUCUAACCAUUUAUCAAGCGAAAAGUAUGUAUUCUACAUCCAAGGCCCUGGCGGCGGCGCUACGACGCAAAAACCCCAAUUCGUCGUCCGUCGUCGUCGUUAAACAAUGGGCCUGCUGGCGGCAUGAAGGCGUGGCGGCGACGUUUCGCUCUAUUUUACUACUAUUUACGAAGGCACAAAACGUUACUUGUGCUUGCUUUCGUUCAUAGAAACGUCUCUCGGUCGACGACGAAACGGUAGAUCGCGUGCUUUGCCAUGUUACUUCUUGGUGGACAUCGAGAGAAAGAGGGGAAAGAGGUAAAGGGGGAAAUAGGAAAAGGAAACCCACUUCCGCAUUAUACAAAACUUAACUUACCAGCAUUAAAGAGAAUUUAAGAAAUAAAUUUUUAAACUUUAUCAAUAAACUAAAAUUAAUGUUA